GCACUUGGAGGAUGUAUAGCGAAAGCUAGUUGCAUUAAAUUCGAUUAAUUCGAAUUUAAUGCAUCCUCGACUAUGUCGAAUAAAGUUCUAGGUAGAGUUAUGAUAAUGACAUUUUCUAUCUAUAUGUCUUGACCAAAUCACGUGCCAGCGGUCGCGGUAAUACGUGGGAGACUAGUGUUAUUCAUCUUUAAUAGGUUUAAAGGGUACUUAGACGGUAAAUUAAGCCCAGAUAAAAAAAAAGGGUACUAAUUAUACUAGAGUUUGAUAAGAGGGGGGUGUGAACUAGUGGUGUAGAGAUGAAAUUCUGUCAUACCAUUAUGACAGGCAACGGCGAAAGCAACCUUUAUGUAAAGACUGACGUUAAAGGACGAAGGCUUUGUGUCACCAACAGGAUUAGAUACCCAAGCAGUCUUAGCAGACAAUUCUGAAUGCCAUAGAUAAGAAAAAUAUAUAUAUAUGUUAAAAUAAAAAUUAAUGUGAAAAUAAAAAUGCAUUUAUUUUAAAAAAAAAAAAAUUAAUGCAAAAAAAUGCAUUUGGAAUGCACCCAAAAGUAGGGCAAAAGCUCUUUUGGAAUGCACUCCAAAUGUAGGGCAAAAGGCUCUUUUUUUUUAGGAACAAUAUUCUUUUGUCUAUAAAUGAAAGUGUAAGCAUUCCACCUCAAGAGUAAAGUGGCAACGCAGAAACUGAAAUCAUUAGACCGUUUCUGAAACCAGUAGUGAAGUAUGUUGUUUAAUUAGAUGGUACGCAAAAAACCUUACCACAAUUUGUAUAUUAUUAGCUUAAUACAAGAGUUGCACGGCUGUCUUCAGUUAAUGUCGUGAGAUUUUGGUUUGUUCCAUUAAAUUAACGUAAACCCUUACUUUAUUUAUAUAAAAAUAAAGUAGUUCACCGCUAUAUUGGAUAUGAUAAGAG
rnacentral:rRNA from 1 species